GCGGCCAUGGCGGAAUUGGUAGACGCGCUAGCUUGAGGUGCUAGUUGGGAAACUAGUGGAGGUUCGAGUCCUCUUGGCCGCACCA
rnacentral:tRNA from 2 species